GGAUUAAUAGCACAGAUUAAAUAGUGCGUUGAAUUGCAGAUUCAAAUGGGUAAUUUUACUUAAUUCU
rnacentral:tRNA from 1 species